CUGCGGAAGGAUCAUUACCUAGAGUUGUAGGCUUUGCCUGCUAUCUCUUACCCAUGUCUUUUGAGUACCUUACGUUUCCUCGGCGGGUCCGCCCGCCGAUUGGACACUUUAAACCAUUUGCAGUUGCAAUCAGCGUCUGAAAAAACUUAAUAGUUACAACUUUCAACAACGGAUCUCUUGGUUCUGGCAUCGAUGAAGAACGCAGCGAAAUGCGAUAAGUAGUGUGAAUUGCAGAAUUCAGUGAAUCAUCGAAUCUUUGAACGCACAUUGCGCCCCUUGGUAUUCCAUGGGGCAUGCCUGUUCGAGCGUCAUUUGUACCUUCAAGCUUUGCUUGGUGUUGGGUGUUUGUCUCGCCUCUGCGUGUAGACUCGCCUCAAAACAAUUGGCAGCCGGCGUAUUGAUUUCGGAGCGCAGUACAUCUCGCGCUUUGCACUCAUAACGACGACGUCCAAAAGUACAUUUUUACACUCUUGACCUCGGAUCAGGUAGGGAUACCCGCUGAACUUAAGCAUAUCAAA
rnacentral:rRNA from 1 species